rnacentral:rRNA from 1 species
UAGGGANUCUUCCACAAUGGGCGCAAGCCUGAUGGAGCAACACCGCNUGAGUGAAGAAGGGUUUCGGCUCGUAAAGCUCUGUUGUUAAAGAAGAACANGUNUGAGAGUAACUGUUCAUACGUNGACGGUAUUNAACCAGAAAGUCACGGCUAACUACGUGCCAGCAGCCGCGGUAAUACGUAGGUGGCAAGCGUUAUCCGGAUUUAUUGGGCGUAAAGAGAGUGCAGGCGGUUUUNUAAGUCUGAUGUGAAAGCCUUCGGCUUAACCGGAGAAGUGCAUCGGAAACCGGNNNACUUGAGUGCAGAAGAGGNUANUGGAACUCCAUGUGUAGCGGUGGAAUGCGUAGAUAUAUGGAAGAACACCAGUGGCGAAGGCGGCNNCCUGGUCUGCAACUGACGCUGAGACUCGAAAGCAUGGGUAGCGAACAGGAUUAGAUACCCUGGUAGUCCAUGCCGUAAACGAUGAGUGCUAGGUGUUGGAGGGUUUCCGCCCUUCAGUGCCGGAGCUAACGCAUUAAGCACUCCGCCUGGGGAGUACGACCGCAAGGUUG